GGAUGUGUGAAUCCCCGGGCUUUACCCUGAGGAACCUGCAUUUGAAACUGGCCAGGCUUGGAGUCUUGUAGAGGGGAGGUAGAAUUCCCAGGUGUAGCGGUGAAAUGCGUAGAGAUUUGGAGGAAUACCGGUGGCGAAGGCGGCCCCCUGGAAGAAGACUGACGCUCCGGUGCGAAAGCGUGGGGAGCAAACCGGAUUAGAUACCCUGGUAGUUCACGCCGUAAACGAUGUUGACUUGGAAGCUGUUUCCCUGAAGAAUGGCUUCCGGAGCUAACGCGUUAAGUUGACCGCCUGGGGAGUACGGCCGCAAGGUUAAAACUCAAAUGAAUUGACGGGGGCCCGCACCAGCGGUGGAGCAUGUGGUUUAAUUUGAUGCAACGCGAAGAACCUUACCUGGCCUUGACAUCCAGAGAAAUUAGCAGAGAUGGUUUGGUGCCUUUGGGAACUGUGAGACAGGUGGUGCAUGGCUGUUGUCAGCUCGUGUUGUGAAAUGUUGGGUUAAGUCCCGCAACGAGCGCAACCCUUUUCCUUUGUUUCCAGCGGGUUAUGCCGGGAACUCAAAGGAGACUGCCGGUGAUAAACCGGAGGAAGGUGGGGAUGACGUCAAGUCAUCAUGGCCCUUACGGCCAGGGCUACACACGUGCUACAAUGGCGCAUACAAAGAGAAGCGACCUCGCGAGAGCAAGCGGACCUCAUAAAGUGCGUCGUAGUCCGGAUCGGAGUCUGCAACUCGACUCCGUGAAGUCGGAAUCGCUAGUAAUCGUGGAUCAGAAUGCCACGGUGAAUACGUUCCCGGGCCUUGUACACACCGCCCGUCACACCAUGGGAGUGGGUUGCAAAAGAAGUAGGUAGCUUAACCUUCGUGACGGCGCUUACCAUAGAGUUU
rnacentral:rRNA from 1 species